rnacentral:other from 1 species
CUGACCCUGCUGUGCAAGUGAUGUUGCACUCAAAGUUUUGUACCAACACGUACUUAAAGGGUUCCACUCUUUCAGAACUAACGCGAUAGGCUAGAGCCAAGGCGAGACUUCUGUCGAAGAACCCACCUGUGAAAACAGGUUCAAAACAUAGCAGCACACGGCAUGCGCGGGGUUACC